CACUCCUACGGGAGGCAGCAGUGGGGAAUUUUGGACAAUGGGCGAAAGCCUGAUCCAGCAAUGCCGCGUGAGUGAAGAAGGCCUUCGGGUUGUAAAGCUCUUUUGUCAGGGAAGAAACGGUGAAAGCUAAUAUCUUUUGCUAAUGACGGUACCUGAAGAAUAAGCACCGGCUAACUACGUGCCAGCAGCCGCGGUAAUACGUAGGGUGCAAGCGUUAAUCGGAAUUACUGGGCGUAAAGCGUGCGCAGGCGGUUUUGUAAGUCUGAUGUGAAAUCCCCGGGCUCAACCUGGGAAUUGCAUUGGAGACUACAAGGCUAGAAUCUGGCAGAGGGGGGUAGAAUUCCACGUGUAGCAGUGAAAUGCGUAGAUAUGUGGAGGAACACCGAUGGCGAAGGCAGCCCCCUGGGUCAAGAUUGACGCUCAUGCACGAAAGCGUGGGGAGCAAACAGGAUUAGAUACCCGGGUAGUCCC
rnacentral:rRNA from 1 species